ACCCUUUUCAUCCGCCCCGGAACGACCUAUAUGGGGAGUGCCGGCUCUCGGGCCGGCUAUGGCAAUAAACGGUCGGUGUAAUAAACCUAUUGGACCCGGGGGCGGUACCCGGCGCCUCCACCAAAAACCGGUCGGUGACGGAGCUCUUUCCGGACCGGCUUUUGAUGGGGGCGAAAUAGGAUCGACAAGGGCGUAAAGAUCGAACUUUUGCUCGGCAUGAUACCGCCGUUAUCGGGUCACAAGAGUAGUUGCAAACGACAACAACGCUCAGGGUUAUGCUCUCGCUGCCUAAUGGCGGUGCGGGAAACCCACACUAAAGCCCUUCUGGUUAGCACCUGAAGGCGGGGUUCGAAGGCACCUGGCAACAGAAGCCUUCACC
rnacentral:tmRNA from 1 species